GGUCUUAUAGUUCAACGGAUAGAAUAGAAGUUUCCUAAACUUUAGAUCCAAGUUCGAUUCUUGGUAAGACCACCA
rnacentral:tRNA from 1 species